UCGCUUCUUCCGACUUACAAAUGCGUCAGCCAUCUCAUAAGUUAAAUGAAUCGGAAGUAAACAAAACAGCCCGUCCAAGAUUCUGCGAAUGAAUACGUAUUUCAGCGGGAGACUGAUGGCUUUUAUAAGUCGUCAGAGCGGACCAGAACAAUUGAAUUCAGCACCACAUCCUAAUAAGAAGUGAGAAUACGGUGAGAUCUCGGUAAACCUGCUUCCAAACCAUGAUUAAAUGCUAUUUUUAGCAAAGGGGGUGGGGGGAGAGGAAAAGGCGGGAGCAUGUGCAUGUGUGGAAGCGGGUGACGCAAGAAUUCCGAAGCGUGGCGCAAGGCGAUGGCCCGAAGGCGGGGGUGGCUGAAGGCUUGGCGAAAGGGAUUCCUUGACUUCGGGCCAAAAACGGCGAGGGCGGCCUGCUUUCCCGAAAGCCUUGGGCCAAGAGCCAAAGAAACCUGAAGGAGGAGCUCUGCCGUUGUGCACAGACCCAGCGCUGACUCUACGGGAGGGGAGGGACACCCACAGCGCCUGGCAAACGUGGAGCUGCGAUCAGCUGCUUCUCUUUCUAGUUUUCAUUUCCCUUCCCUGGAAAUCCUUCCCCUUCUUAAAUCCACUAGUUGCCAAGUUCAGAUCCCCUUCGAUUCAGUUAAGCGAUUUUCACAGGUGAUGCUUAAAUCACUCGUGAUUGGCUACUACAAGUCUUUCUCUAGUCCUAACCAGCGUGGACUAAUCAAGCUACAGUACUGCUGGCUCUUAGGGCAACUUACAGCUCAGUGAAGGAAGACAGUCACAGCCCUCAAGUUUACAAGUAUUAAAAAUUACAAAAAAAGGAAGAGAAAAAUACCUAAGCAGCAAUUCUUAACAUUAUACAGUAUGCAGUUGUAACGCAGAGGAUAUGGCCAUUACACAGUCAGACACAGUUCCUCUUCUUAUAAUGACUUGCCAGAGCAGAAACACACUGAAAGUAUGAGUCUUUCAGCCAUCACCAGUGAAGUGGAAGCCCUUGCUCAAGCAGAAAAGGAUGCAGAGGAAGCAGAGGGAGAUUUAGAUUUGGACAUCACCACAUGAACAGAUGGGGAUCCAUAACAAGAACUCAGACAAUGUGACCUAAUAAAACUAUACGAGGCAAGAUGGGGAUCCA
rnacentral:lncRNA from 1 species